GAGCGGGUGUAGCAAUACAUCAGCGGCAGACGGGUGAGUAACGCGUGGGAACCUUCCCUGUGGUACGGAAUAACUUCGGGAAACCGAAGCUAAUACCGUAUAUCUCCUCCGGGAGAAAGAUUUAUCGCCAUAGGAUGGGCCCGCGUUGGAUUAGCUAGUUGGUAGGGUAAUGGCCUACCAAGGCAACGAUCCAUAGCUGGUCUGAGAGGAUGAUCAGCCACACUGGGACUGAGACACGGCCCAGACUCCUACGGGAGGCAGCAGUGGGGAAUAUUGGACAAUGGGCGCAAGCCUGAUCCAGCCAUGCCGCGUGAGUGAAGAAGGCCUUAGGGUUGUAAAGCUCUUUUGGCGGGGACGAUAAUGACGGUACCCGCAGAAUAAGCCCCGGCUAACUUCGUG
rnacentral:rRNA from 1 species